AUACGUAGGUGGCAAGCGUUGUCCGGAAUUAUUGGGCGUAAAGCGCGCGCAGGUGGUUCCUUAAGUCUGAUGUGAAAGCCCCCGGCUCAACCGGGGAGGGUCAUUGGAAACUGGGGAACUUGAGUGCAGAAGAGGAUAGUGGAAUUCCAAGUGUAGCGGUGCAAUGCGUAGAGAUUUGGAGGAACACCAGUGGCGAAGGCGACUUUCUGGUCUGUAACUGACGCUGAGGCGCGAAAGCGUGGGGAGCAAACAGGAUUAGAUACCCUGGUAGUCCACGCCGUAAACGAUGAGUGCUAAGUGUUAGGGGGUUUCCGCCCCUUAGUGCUGCAGCUAACGCAUUAAGCACUCCGCCUGGGGAGUACGGUCGCAAGACUGAAACUCAAAGGAAUUGACGGGG
rnacentral:rRNA from 1 species